CAGCUACUACUUAAUUUACACAUGCAAGNUCUCCGCACCCNUGUGAAANCGCCCUUGNACUUCUUUGAGAAAUGAGGAGCCGGUAUCAGGCUCAAAGAUUAGCCCAAGACACCUAGCUAUGCCACACCCACACGGGAAUUCAGCAGUGAUUAACAUUGAAAAUAAGCGACAGCUUGAAUCAGUUAAAGUAAAAAGAGCCGGCAAAUCUGGUGCCAGCCGCCGCGGUUACACCACGUGACUCAAACUGACCUCUUCCGGCGUAAAGCGUGAUUAAAGCCUNCUUUACCACUGCAAUUAAACCAGAGCUGAGCUGUGACACGCCUACUCCUGAGAACCCCAAAAACGAAAGUCAUUGCAANCCCCNAAUCUUGAACUCACGACAGCUAGAAAACAAACUGGGAUUAGAUACCCCACUAUGUCUAGCCGUAAANCUUUUAUUUACAUCUACACCGCCAGGGAACUACGAGCAAAGCUUAAAACCCAAGGGACUUGACGGUACCCCAUAUCCACCUAGAGGAGCCUGUCCUAUAAUCGAUAACCCCCGCUUAACCUCACCAUUUUUAGCAUAUCAGCCUGUAUACCUCCGUCGUCAGCUUACCCCGUGAGCGCCAACUAGUGAGCUAAAUGCCCCUACGCCAGUACGUCAGGUCAAGGUGCAGCAUAUAAAAUGGGAAGAGAUGGGCUACACUGUCUAAAUUAGACUACACGGAAGACUAUAU
rnacentral:rRNA from 1 species